UACGAAGGGGGCUAGCGUUGCUCGGAAUCACUGGGCGUAAAGCGCACGUAGGCGGCUUACUAAGUCAGGGGUGAAAUCCUGGAGCUCAACUCCAGAACUGCCUUUGAUACUGGUGAGCUCGAGUCCGGGAGAGGUGAGUGGAACUGCGAGUGUAGAGGUGAAAUUCGUAGAUAUUCGCAAGAACACCAGUGGCGAAGGCGGCUCACUGGCCCGGUACUGACGCUGAGGUGCGAAAGCGUGGGGAGCAAACAGG
rnacentral:rRNA from 1 species